GACAGAGGGUGCAAGCGUUGUUCGGAAUUACUGGGCGUAAAGCGUGCGUAGGCGGCCGCGUAAGUCGGAUGUGAAAGCCCUGGGCUCAACCCAGGAAGUGCACUCGAUACUGCGUGGCUUGAGUACUGGAGAGGUUGGUGGAAUUCUCGGUGUAGAGGUGAAAUUCGUAGAUAUCGAGAGGAACACCGGUGGCGAAGGCGGCCAACUGGACAGAUACUGACGCUGAGACACGAAAGCGUGGGGAGCAAACAGG
rnacentral:rRNA from 1 species